rnacentral:tRNA from 1 species
CAAUGAUUUAAGAUUUAGAUAUAAGAUAUAAAUCUUUAUUAGAA